rnacentral:rRNA from 1 species
GCCUAGCCGUAAAUAAUUCACUCACACCAGCCAACGCCAGGGAACUACGAGCAAUGCUUAAAACCCAAAGGACUUGACGGUGCCCCACCCAACUAGAGGAGCCUGUUCUAUAAUCGAUGAUCCCCGCUACACCCAACCACUCCUAGCCUAUCAGCCUGUAUACCUCCGUCGAAAGCCUACCAUGUGAAUGCCCCUAGUGGGCCCAAGGAUCCCCCCACCAACAUGUCAGGUCAAGGUGCAGCCCACGAAGUGGAAAGCAAUGGGCUACAAUUUCUAACCUAGAACAAACGAAAGUCUGUGUGAAACCACAAACAUGAAGGCGGAUUUAGUAGUAAAAAGAAAACAGAGAGUUCUUUUUAACCCGGCCCUGGGGCGUGUACACACCGCCCGUCGCCCUCUUCAAUCGUACCCCCCACUGUCCCUAACCC